rnacentral:rRNA from 1 species
GGGGCGGUACUAUUCGAGACACGAGGACUGCCAAGCCCAGUGAGCAUCUGUUAAACGGCCGCGGUAUCACUGACCGUGUCAAAGGUAGCAUAAUCAUUUGUUCACUCUAAAUAGGGACUUGUAUGAACGGCCACACGAGGGUUUUACUGUCUCUUACUUCCAAUCAGUGAAAUUGUGACUACCCUCCCGUGAAGAGGCGGGAAUAUAUAAAUAAGACGAGAAGACCCUAUGGAGCUUUAAUUAAUUAGCCCAAUAAAUAAACAACCUAUGCCCCUAAGGGAAACAAGAAACUUUUUAAUGGGCUAACAAUUUAGGUUGGGGUGACCUCGGAAUACAAAACAACUUCCGAGAGACAAAAACUUAUACCAACAAGUCAACGGAUAUAGUCAUUUAUUGAUCCAAAAAUUGAUCAACGGAACAAGUUACCCUAGGGAUAACAGCGCAAUCCUAUUUGAGAGUCCAUAUCGAUGAUAGGGUUUACGACCUCGAUGUUGGAUCACGACAUCCCAAUGGUGCAGCCGCUAUUAAUGGUUCGUUUGUUCAACGAUUAAAGUCCUACGUGAUCUAUUUUUAACCCCGGGGGGGAAAAAAAAGGAGG